rnacentral:rRNA from 1 species
GACGAACCGUACGAACGUUAUUCGGAAUCACUGGGCUUAAAGGGUGCGUAGGCUGCGCAGCAAGUUGGGUGUGAAAUCCCUCGGCUUAACCGAGGAACUGCGCCCAAAACUGCUGUGCUCGAGGGAGACAGAGGUGAGCGGAACUUAGGGUGGAGCGGUGAAAUGCGUUGAUAUCCUAAGGAACACCGGUGGCGAAAGCGGCUCACUGGGUCUCUUCUGACGCUGAGGCACGAAAGCUAGGGGAGCGAACAGG